rnacentral:rRNA from 1 species
UUUAAAGAGAGUUUGAUCCUGGCUCAGGACGAACGCUGGCGGCGUGCCUAAUACAUGCAAGUCGAACGAACGGAGGAAGAGCUUGCUCUUCCAAUGUUAGUGGCGGACGGGUGAGUAACACGUGGGCAACCUGCCUGUAAGUUGGGGAUAACUCCGGGAAACCGGGGCUAAUACCGAAUGAUA